rnacentral:rRNA from 1 species
GAUGAACGCUGGCGGCGUGCCUAAUACAUGCAAGUCGAGCGAACAGACGAGGAGCUUGCUCCUCUGACGUUAGCGGCGGACGGGUGAGUAACACGUGGAUAACCUACCUAUAAGACUGGGAUAACUUCGGGAAACCGGAGCUAAUACCGGAUAAUAUAUUGAACCGCAUGGUUCAAUAGUGAAAGACGGUUUUGCUGUCACUUAUAGAUGGAUCCGAGCCGCAUUAGCUAGUUGGUAAGGUAACGGCUUACCAAGGCAACGAUGCGUAGCCGACCUGAGAGGGUGAUCGGCCACACUGGAACUGAGACACGGUCCAGACUCCUACGGGAGGCAGCAGUAGGGAAUCUUCCGCAAUGGGCGAAAGCCUGACGGAGCAACGCCGCGUGAGUGAUGAAGGUCUUCGGAUCGUAAAACUCUGUUAUUAGGGAAGAACGAAUGUGUGAGUAACUAUGCACGUCUUGACGGUACCUAAUCAGAAAGCCACGGCUAACUACGUG